UACGGGGGGGGCGAGCGUUGUUCGGAAUUACUGGGCGUAAAGGGUUUGUAGGUGGCCUGCUAAGUCAGACGUGAAAUCCCUCAGCUUAACUGGGGAACUGCGUCUGAUACUGGCGGGCUUGAGGACAGGAGAGGAACGCGGAAUUCCAGGUGUAGCGGUGAAAUGCGUAGAUAUCUGGAGGAACACCGAUGGCGAAGGCAGCCUCCUGGGCUAGUACUGACGCUCAUGCACGAAAGCGUGGGGAGCAAACAGG
rnacentral:rRNA from 1 species